AGGACGAACGCUGGCGGCGUGCUUAACACAUGCAAGUCGAGCGGAAAGGCCCUUCGGGGUACUCGAGCGGCGAACGGGUGAGUAACACGUGAGCAAUCUGCCCUUAGCUCUGGGAUAGCUCCGGGAAACCGGGAUUAAUACCAGAUAUGACCACGGCCGACAUCAGCUGUGGUGGAAAGAAUUUCGGCUAGGGAUGAGCUCGCGGCCUAUCAGCUUGUUGGUGGGGUAAAGGCCUACCAAGGCGACGACGGGUAGCCGGCCUGAGAGGGCGACCGGCCACACUGGGACUGAGACACGGCCCAGACUCCUACGGGAGGCAGCAGUGGGGGAAUAUUGCGCAAUGGGCGAAAGCCUGACGCAGCGACGCCGCGUGCGGGAUGAAGGCCUUCGGGUUGUAAACCGCUUUCAGCAGGGACGAAGCGAAAGUGACGGUACCUGCAGAAGAAGCGCCGGCUAACUACGUGCCAGCAGCCGCGGU
rnacentral:rRNA from 1 species